rnacentral:rRNA from 1 species
AUUGAACGCUGGCGGCAGGCCUAACACAUGCAAGUCGAGCGGAUGACAGGAGCUUGCUCCUUGAUUCAGCGGCGGACGGGUGAGUAAUGCCUAGGAAUCUGCCUGGUAGUGGGGGACAACGUUUCGAAAGGAACGCUAAUACCGCAUACGUCGUACGUGAGAAAGCAGGGGACCUUCGGGCCUUGCGCUAUCAGAUGAGCCUAGGUCGGAUUAGCUAGUAGGUGAGGUAAUGGCUCACCUAGGCGACGAUCCGUAACUGGUCUGAGAGGAUGAUCAGUCACACUGGAACUGGGACACGGUCCAGACUCCUACGGGAGGCAGCAGUGGGGAAUAUUGGACAAUGGGCGAAAGCCUGAUCCAGCCAUGCCGCGUGUGUGAAGAAGGUCUUCGGAUUGUAAAGCACUUUAAGUUGGGAGGAAGGGCAGUAAGUUAAUACCUUGCUGUUUUGACGUUACCGACAGAAUAAGCACCGGCUAACUCUGUGCCAGCCGCCGCGGUAAAAC